rnacentral:rRNA from 1 species
ACUUAGGAUUCAAUCUUUAUCCUUCUUUACUUUUCUUCCCUUUCUUUCCUUCUGUUGGCUAAGUUCGUUGUGAAAGCGCCCAGGCUUAAACGGGCGAGGACAAUGAAGACUGGUCAGCUAGAGGACGGUAGAGGGGUGUGGAAUUCCGGGUGUAGUGGUGAAAUGCGUAGAGAUGUGGAGGAACACCGAUGGCGAAGGCAGCCCCCUGGGCCGAUACUGACGCUCAUGCACGAAAGCGUGGGGAGCAAACAG